rnacentral:snoRNA from 1 species
CAGUUUAUUCAUCAACAUCAAUCUGAAAAAGCAUAGAUGUAUGGAGAAAUAAUGACUUA